GUCCACGCCGUAAACGAUGAGUGCUAGGUGUUGGGGGGUACCACCCUCAGUGCCGAAGCUAACGCAUUAAGCACUCCGCCUGGGGAGUACGGUCGCAAGACUGAAACUCAAAGGAAUUGACGGGGGCCCGCACAAGCAGUGGAGCAUGUGGUUUAAUUCGAAGCAACGCGAAGAACCUUACCAGGACUUGACAUCCCGCUGACCAGUCUAGAGAUAGACUCUCCCUUCGGGGCAGCGGUGACAGGUGGUGCAUGGUUGUCGU
rnacentral:rRNA from 1 species